CACUCCUGCGGGAGGCAGCAGUGGGGAAUUUUGGACAAUGGGCGAAAGCCUGAUCCAGCCAUGCCGCGUGCAGGAUGAAGGCCUUCGGGUUGUAAACUGCUUUUGUACGGAACGAAACGGCCUUUUCUAAUAAAGAGGGCUAAUGACGGUACCGUAAGAAUAAGCACCGGCUAACUACGUGCCAGCAGCCGCGGUAAUACGUAGGGUGCAAGCGUUAAUCGGAAUUACUGGGCGUAAAGCGUGCGCAGGCGGUUAUGUAAGACAGUUGUGAAAUCCCCGGGCUCAACCUGGGAACUGCAUCUGUGACUGCAUAGCUAGAGUACGGUAGAGGGGGAUGGAAUUCCGCGUGUAGCAGUGAAAUGCGUAGAUAUGCGGAGGAACACCGAUGGCGAAGGCAAUCCCCUGGACCUGUACUGACGCUCAUGCACGAAAGCGUGGGGAGCAAACAGGAUUAGAAACCCUAGUAGUCCCAUG
rnacentral:rRNA from 1 species